AUGGAACAAGCAGGGAAAGAAAACGCACAAAUGGAGGGCUCCAUGCUAAACGUGUUACUGGACGAAUGGACAGAACAGAAACAGUUCAACCCAGACGUCACAACUGUACUCCCUGCAGAAUUCGCAAAUAUGGUGCUAGAUCUCAAUUAUAAAAGAGGGGAGCUAUCAGAAUUCAACAAAGACGAUGCACUACAAGCAUUUGAACAACUCGUGCGAGGUAAAAACAUCCUGCACUCGAAGAUGAUAAUGAUACCUCAUCACACGGACAAGCACUACACGCUAUAUGUAAUGAACAAGCACAUAGAUAGCAUCGACAUCCUUGACUCAUUGAACUAUGUAAACUACGCCGAUUUGUCUUGGAGUAAACACCAUGUGCAUCGAGCAAAACUGAUGAGAAGGAUGUCGGUGUUGAUGAACAAGUACCACCAACUAAAAGACAAGAACGAACCAGACUGGGCAAGGAUAGCAGAAAGGCCUCACAGGAUCUGCACACCAAAGCAAAAAGGAACACAAUGUGGACACUUCACAGCCCAAUUUGCAAAACACUGGAACGGGAAAGAACUGGUCAAGGACAGAGAGGAUUUUCAUCAUAACAAGGUGGAUGCAGAAUGGAAACCAGAGUACGUAUACACACUCAUAUUCGGUAAAACCAACCAAAUAAAGCACCAUCAACUUCCUGAAAAAAUCAAAGUUUUCAAACCAGAGACUACAAACCUUUUUCCCCCAUGA
rnacentral:rRNA from 1 species